ACAUCUAUUAAAGAUUUUUCCAUUUCCUCAUAUGUCUUGAAAAACUUCUUUCCACCUUUAGUGGUAAUUGCGUCCUCUGCUUUCAUCACUUUAUCUUGUAUUUUUACUCUCAUAUCAUUGACCUCGCCAAUUUCUUUUUCAAUGCCCAUUUGUAUUGAACACCCUUUUUUAUUCAAUUCCUCCCUUAAAGAUUGAGUGUACUUUUCUAUUUUUUCUUUUACAACAUUUUCGUGAUUUGUUAUUUUUUCAUUUACUUGUGAAACUUUAAGCUUUGUCUCUUCUUUGAUUUUUUCCAAUUUUUCAAUUUCAGUUGUUACAGUUUGUUCUUGCUCUUUCAGUGUGAGAAUUUUCUUCCUCACAUUGUCUUUCUUGAUAGAAUAUCCAGUUAUUGUG
rnacentral:lncRNA from 1 species